rnacentral:rRNA from 1 species
UACGUAGGGGGCGAGCGUUGUCCGGAUUUAUUGGGCGUAAAGAGCGUGUAGGCGGCCAGGUAGGUCUGCUGUGAAAACUCGAGGCUCAACCUCGAGACGUCGGCGGAAACCAUCUGGCUAGAGUCCGGAAGAGGAGAGUGGAAUUCCUGGUGUAGCGGUGAAAUGCGCAGAUAUCAGGAAGAACACCCGUGGCGAAGGCGGCUCUCUGGGACGGUACUGACGCUGAUGAGCGAAAGCUAGGGGAGCAAACGGG